rnacentral:rRNA from 1 species
GAUGAACGCUGGCGGCGUGCCUAAUACAUGCAAGUCGAGCGAACGGACGAGAAGCUUGCUUCUCUGAUGUUAGCGGCGGACGGGUGAGUAACACGUGGAUAACCUACCUAUAAGACUGGGAUAACUUCGGGAAACCGGAGCUAAUACCGGAUAAUAUUUUGAACCGCAUGGUUCAAAAGUGAAAGACGGUCUUGCUGUCACUUAUAGAUGGAUCCGCGCUGCAUUAGCUAGUUGGUAAGGUAACGGCUUACCAAGGCAACGAUGCAUAGCCGACCUGAGAGGGUGAUCGGCCACACUGGAACUGAGACACGGUCCAGACUCCUACGGGAGGCAGCAGUAGGGAAUCUUCCGCAAUGGGCGAAAGCCUGACGGAGCAACGCCGCGUGAGUGAUGAAGGUCUUCGGAUCGUAAAACUCUGUUAUUAGGGAAGAACAUAUGUGUAAGUAACUGUGCACAUCUUGACGGUACCUAAUCAGAAAGCCACGGCUAACUACGUGCCAGCAGCCGCGGUAAUACGUAGGUGGCAAGCGUUAUCCGGAAUUAUUGGGCGUAAAGCGCGCGUAGGCGGUUUUUUAAGUCUGAUGUGAAAGCCCACGGCUCAACCGUGGAGGGUCAUUGGAAACUGGAAAACUUGAGUGCAGAAGAGGAAAGUGGAAUUCCAUGUGUAGCGGUGAAAUGCGCAGAGAUAUGGAGGAACACCAGUGGCGAAGGCGACUUUCUGGUCUGUAACUGACGCUGAUGUGCGAAAGCGUGGGGAUCAAACAGGAUUAGAUACCCUGGUAGUCCACGCCGUAAACGAUGAGUGCUAAGUGUUAGGGGGUUUCCGCCCCUUAGUGCUGCAGCUAACGCAUUAAGCACUCCGCCUGGGGAGUACGACCGCAAGGUUGAAACUCAAAGGAAUUGACGGGGACCCGCACAAGCGGUGGAGCAUGUGGUUUAAUUCGAAGCAACGCGAAGAACCUUACCAAAUCUUGACAUCCUUUGACAACUCUAGAGAUAGAGCCUUCCCCUUCGGGGGGGCAAAGUGACAGGUGGCGCAUGGUUGUCGUCAGCUCGUGUCGUGAGAUGUUGGGUUAAGUCCCGCAACGAGCGCAACCCUUAAGCUUAGUUGCCAUCAUUAAGUUGGGCACUCUAAGUUGACUGCCGGUGACAAACCGGAGGAAGGUGGGGAUGACGUCAAAUCAUCAUGCCCCUUAUGAUUUGGGCUACACACGUGCUACAAUGGACAAUACAAAGGGCAGCGAAACCGCGAGGUCAAGCAAAUCCCAUAAAGUUGUUCUCAGUUCGGAUUGUAGUCUGCAACUCGACUACAUGAAGCUGGAAUCGCUAGUAAUCGUAGAUCAGCAUGCUACGGAGAAGACGUUCCCGGGUCU